rnacentral:rRNA from 1 species
UACGUAGGGGGCAAGCGUUGUCCGGAAUUAUUGGGCGUAAAGCGCGUGUAGGCGGUCCGGUAAGUCGGUUGUGAAAGUCCAGGGCUCAACCCUGGGAUGCCGAUCGAUACUGCCGGACUAGAGUCCGGAAGAGGCGAGUGGAAUUCCCGGUGUAGCGGUGAAAUGCGCAGAUAUCGGGAGGAACACCAAUGGCGAAGGCAGCUCGCUGGGACGGUACUGACGCUGAGACG